rnacentral:rRNA from 1 species
AACGAACGCUGGCGGCAUGCCUAACACAUGCAAGUCGAACGAAGCCUUCGGGCUUAGUGGCGCACGGGUGCGUAACGCGUGGGAAUCUGCCCUUAGGUACGGAAUAACUCAGGGAAACUUGUGCUAAUACCGUAUGAUGUCGAAAGACCAAAGAUUUAUCGCCUAGGGAUGAGCCCGCGUUGGAUUAGCUAGUUGGUGAGGUAAAGGCUCACCAAGGCGACGAUCCAUAGCUGGUCUGAGAGGAUGAUCAGCCACACUGGGACUGAGACACGGCCCAGACUCCUACGGGAGGCAGCAGUGGGGAAUAUUGGACAAUGGGCGAAAGCCUGAUCCAGCAAUGCCGCGUGAGUGAAGAAGGCCUUCGGGUUGUAAAGCUCUUUUACCCGGGAAGAUAAUGACUGUACCGGGAGAAUAAGCCCCGGCUAACUCCGUGCCAGCCGCCGCAGUAAGAC